rnacentral:rRNA from 1 species
AUACGUAGGUGACAAGCGUUAUCCGGAUUUACUGGGCGUAAAGGGCGUGUAGGCGGUCUUGCAAGUCAGAAGUGAAAUUCCUGAGCUCAACUCGGGCGCUGCUUCUGAAACUGCAGGACUUGAGUGCUGGAGGGGAUAGCGGAAUUCCUAGUGGAGCGGUAAAAUGCGCAGAUAUUAGGAAGAACACCGGUGGCGAAGGCGGCUAUCUGGACAGUAACUGACGCUGAGGCGCGAAAGCGUGGGGAGCAAACAGGAUUAGAUACCCUGGUAGUCCACGCCGUAAACGAUGGGUACUAGGUGUCGGGGGUCCAACCUCGGUGCCGCAGUAAACACAUUAAGUACCCCGCCUGGGGAGUACGGUCGCAAGAUUAAAACUCAAAGGAAUUGACGGGG